CAAUAGCGUAUAUUAAAGUUGUUGCAGUUAGAACGCUCGUAGUCGGAUUUCGGGGCGGGCCGACCGGUCUGCCGAUGGGUAUGCACUGGUCGGCGCGUCCUUCCUUCCGGAGACCGUCCCUACUCUUAACUGAGCGGGGGCGGGAGACGGGACUUUUACUUUGAAAAAAUCAGAGUGUUUCAAGCAGGCAGCUCGCUCUUGCAUGGAUUAGCAUGGGAUAAUGAAAUAGGACUUUGGUGCUAUUUUGUUGGUUUCGAACACCGAAGUAAUGAUGAGAAGGGACAGUCAGGGGCGCUCGUAUUCCGCCGAGAGAGGUGAAAUUCUCAGACCAGCGGAAGACGAACCACUGCGAAAGCAUUUGCCGGGGAUGUUUUCACUGA
rnacentral:rRNA from 1 species